UACGUAGGGUGCGAGCGUUAAUCGGAAUUACUGGGCGUAAAGCGUGCGCAGGCGGUGAUGUAAGACAGAUGUGAAAUCCCCGGGCUCAACCUGGGACCUGCAUUUGUGACUGCAUCGCUGGAGUACGGUAGAGGGGGAUGGAAUUCCGCGUGUAGCAGUGAAAUGCGUAGAUAUGCGGAGGAACACCGAUGGCGAAGGCGGCAUCCUGGACCAAUACUGACGCUGAGGAGCGAAAGCCAGGGGAGCAAACGGG
rnacentral:rRNA from 1 species